GACGUAGGGGGCCAGCGUUGUUCGGAAUUACUGGGUGUAAAGGGUUCGUAGGCGGUGUGGCAAGUCGGGAGUGAAAUCUAUGGGCUUAACCCAUAGGCUGCUUCCGAAACUGCUGUGCUUGAGUGUGAGAGAGGCGCGUGGAAUUGCAGGUGUAGCGGUGAAAUGCGUAGAUAUCUGCAGGAACACCCGUGGCGAAAGCGGCGCGCUGGACCACAACUGACGCUGAGGAACGAAAGCUAGGGGAGCAAACAGG
rnacentral:rRNA from 1 species